rnacentral:rRNA from 1 species
GACGUAGGGCGCGAGCGUUUGUCCGGAUUUAUUGGGCGUAAAGAGCUCGUAGGCGGCUUGUCGCGUCGUCCGUGAAAACUUGGGGCUCAACCCCAAGCUUGCGGUCGAUACGGGCAGGCUAGAGUUCGGUAGGGGAGACUGGAAUUCCUGGUGUAGCGGUGAAAUGCGCAGAUAUCAGGAGGAACACCGGUGGCGAAGGCGGGUCUCUGGGCCGAUACUGACGCUGAGGAGCGAAAGCGUGGGGAGCGAACAGG